GAUCACUGUAUGACUGCAUGACCUAUGCAACUGAAAAAGUAACACCAUAAUAUUGCCCUGAGCUGACUUUUUAAAAUUUUAUUACCAUUUUUUCUUAUUGCCUAGGAUAGCGUGGAAGACAACAACACUGAUAUGAUGGUGGGCAAAUGUAUUUUGACAUCAGCAAGAAUAUCAACCCAGUGUCUACAGGUUGUUAAGAUUUUCUGGAGAUUUUCUUGCAGAGUAAUGCUGAAGUAGCUUUCUGUUUGCCAUUUGCUGCAGAAUAACAUGCCUAGGGUAUCUUCAUAGAUCUGUAAAUACCAGAAGGGCAAAAAUGUCAUAUAACAACUUCCAAGAAAGCAGACUGGAGUUCUCAGACUCAGUUAAUGGCCAGCACUGGAUAUUCCUGAGAAAAGGCCUCGAUGACUUCAGAGAUGGCUUCUCUCCUUCAUUUGAAAACAUGAUUGUGUAUGGUAAAAAGCAACCUGUCUCAAUUAUCCUGAAAAGCAGCAUAGUAAAAUCUUCAUACACAGCUCCAUGGAACAAAAGCAAGAAGUCCAGCAAAAUACAGGUCUCUUUUUCCCAGAUCAGUCCUCAACAGCAAAGCAGGAGGAAUUACAUUGUGUGCAUAGAACACUGUCUGAAUCAGCAUCCUAAGUGCUCUAUUCGUGUUUGGAAAAAAGCAUCUUCCUAAAGGCAACGAUUUUUAUAAUCCUGAUGUAUGGAGCUGCUGAAUCACGGCCUGAACCUCUGAUUAAUCA